rnacentral:tRNA from 1 species
GCCUGGGUGGCUCAGUCGGUUAAGCGUCAGACUUCAGCUCAGGUCACGAUCUCGCGGUCAGUGAGUUCGAACCCCGCCUCGGGCU